CCUACGGGAGGCAGCAGUGGGGAAUAUUGGGCAAUGGGCGCAAGCCUGACCCAGCAACGCCGCGUGAAGGAAGAAGGCUUUCGGGUUGUAAACUUCUUUUCUCAGGGACGAAGAAAGUGACGGUUACAGUGGUAUACGCCACGGCUAACUACGUGCCAGCAGCCGCGGUAAUACGUAGGUGGCAGGCGUUAUCAGGAUUUAUUGGGUGUACAGGGCGUGUAGGCGGGAGCGCAAGUCAGAUGUGAAAACUCAGGGCUCAACCCUGAGCCUGCAUUUGAAACUGUGGUUCUUGAGUGCUGGAGAGGCAAGCGGAAUUCCGGGUGUAGCGGUGAAAUGCGUAGAUAUACGGAGGAACACCAGUGGCGAAGGCGGAUUGCUGGACAGUAACUGACGCUGAGGCGCGAAAGCGUGGGUAGCAAACAGGAUUAGAUACCCCUGUAGUC
rnacentral:rRNA from 1 species